UACAGAGGGUGCAAGCGUUGUUCGGAAUUACUGGGCGUAAAGCGCGUGUAGGCGGCGUCGUGAGUCAUCUGUGAAAGCCCUCGGCUCAACCGAGGAAGUGCAUGUGAUACUGCGAUGCUUGAGUGUUGGAGGGGGUGGCGGAAUUCCCGGUGUAGAGGUGAAAUUCGUAGAUAUCGGGAGGAACACCUGUGGCGAAGGCGGCCACCUGGACAACAACUGACGCUGAGACGCGAAAGCGUGGGUAGCAAACAGGAUUAGAUACCCUGGUAGUCCACGCUGUAAACGAUGAGUGCUAGACGUCACGGGUAUUGACCCCUGUGGUGUCGAAGUUAACACGUUAAGCACUCCGCCUGGGGAGUACGGUCGCAAGAUUA
rnacentral:rRNA from 1 species